rnacentral:tRNA from 1 species
UGCCGCAUAGCUCAGUCGGUAGAGCAGCUGACUGUUAAUCAGCGGGUCAUAGGUUCGAGUCCUAUUGCGGCAGCCA